GCACUCGCUUUAGCAACACAUCUACUAAAAUUGGAACGAUACAGAGAAGAUCACCAUGGUCCCUGUGUAAGGAUGACAUGCAAAUUCAUGAAGCAUUCCAUAUUUUU